rnacentral:rRNA from 1 species
AUUGAACGCUGGCGGCAGGCCUAACACAUGCAAGUCGAACGAGUGGCGGACGGGUGAGUAAUGUCUGGGCAACUGCCUGAUGGAGGGGGAUAACUACUGGAAACGGUAGCUAAUACCGCAUACCAUCGGAUGUGCCCAGAUGGGAUUAGCUAGUAGGUGGGGUAACGGCUCACCUAGGCGACGAUCCCUAGCUGGUCUUAGAGGAUGACCAGCCACACUGGGAAUGAGAAACGGUCCAGACUCCUACGGUAGGCAGCAGUGGGGAAUAUUGCACAAGGGGCGCAAGCCUGAUGCAGCCAUGCCGCGUGUAUGAAGAAGGCCUUCGGGUUGUAAAGUACUUUCAGCGAGGAGGCGUGACUCGCAGAAGAAGCAUCGGCUAACUCCGUGCCAGCAGCCGCGGUAAUAC